rnacentral:rRNA from 1 species
UAUCCUACGGGAGGCAGCAGUGGGGAAUAUUGCACAAUGGGGGAAACCCUGAUGCAGCAACGCCGCGUGAGUGAAGAAGUAUUUCGGUAUGUAAAGCUCUAUCAGCAGGGAAGAAAAUGACGGUACCUGAGUAAGAAGCCCCGGCUAACUACGUGCCAGCAGCCGCGGUAAUACGUAGGGGGCAAGCGUUAUCCGGAUUUACUGGGUGUAAAGGGAGCGUAGACGGCGAUACAAGUCUGAAGUGAAAGCCCGGG